AGAGUUUGAUCAUGGCUCAGGAUGAACGCUGGCGGCAUGCCUAAUACAUGCAAGUCGAACGGAGCGACUAGGAAGCUUGCUUCCAAAGAAGCUCAGUGGCGAACGGGUGAGUAACACGUAGGUAACCUGCCCAUGUGCCCGGGAUAACUGCUGGAAACGGUAGCUAAAACCGGAUAGGUCCGAGAACCGCAUGGCACUCGGAUUAAAGCACCUAAGGGUGUGAACAUGGAUGGACCUGCGGCGCAUUAGCUAGUUGGUGCGGUAACGGCGCACCAAGGCGAUGAUGCGUAGCCGACCUGAGAGGGUGAACGGCCACAUUGGGACUGAGACACGGCCCAAACUCCUACGGGAGGCAGCAGUAGGGAAUUUUCGUCAAUGGGGGGAACCCUGAACGAGCAAUGCCGCGUGCGUGAAGAAGGCCUUCGGGUCGUAAAGCGCUGUUGUAAGUGAAGAACGGCCGAUAUAGGGAAUGAUAUCGGAGUGACGGUAGCUUACCAGAAAGCCACGGCUAACUACGUGCCAGCAGCCGCGGUAAUACGUAGGUGGCGAGCGUUAUCCGGAAUUAUUGGGCGUAAAGGGUGCGUAGGUGGCACGCUAAGUCCGAAGUAAAAGGCAAUAGCUCAACUAUUGUGUGCUUUGGAAACUGGCGGGCUAGAGUGCAGAAGAGGGCGAUGGAAUUCCAUGUGUAGCGGUAAAAUGCGUAGAUAUAUGGAGGAACACCAGUGGCGAAGGCGGUCGC
rnacentral:rRNA from 1 species